GGCCAUAUGCCGCCGUCAGGUGCCCGCGAAAUGCGGGGGAAUCGGGAAGCCGGUGCAGUUCCGGCACGUGCCCAACGCUGUGAAGGGGACGUUCUCGCCAAAAAGGGCUCUGAAUCUUUUCAGAGCUUUGCCACUGAAUAUUGAAGCUAUUCGGGAAGGCGGCGCGAACGGAUGAUCCGAAGUCAGAAGACCGGCCUGGCGAGAUAGACCGGCC
rnacentral:ncRNA from 17 species